rnacentral:rRNA from 1 species
UUCGGAUAUCUUUUGAUAUGGUAGGCGAGCAUUCUGUAGCUGUGAAGCGGGACCGUAAGGACCGUUGGAGCGAUCAGAAAAGACUCUGUCGGCAUAAGUAGCGAUAACGCGGGUGAGAACCCCGCGCGCCGUAAACCUAAGGUUUCCUGAGUAAAGUUAAUCUGCUCAGGGUUAGACGGCACCUAAGGCGAGGCCGAAAGGCGUAGUCGAUGGAAAUCCGGUUAAUAUUCCGGAUCCUGUAACGUGUGCUGUGGGAGGACGCAGUAGGGUAGGCGAGACGGCCGAUGGAUGUGCCGUUGAACUCAUCAUAGCCCGUCACUUUGGAAAAUCCGGGUGACAUAAGGGUAAAGGUAGGGACGAAAGUAGGGGUAAAACCCGAAAAAAGUCGCUGACCCCAGCUGCCAAGAAAAUUCUCGUUCAGCUAUACACGCGAUCAGACCGUACCGCAAACCGACACAGGUAGGUGGGGUGAGAAUCCUAAGGCGCUUGUGAGAACUCUCGUUCAGGAACUCGGCAAACUAGCCCCGUAACUUCGGGAAAAGGGGUGCCGUCCUCCGGGACGGUCGCAGAGAAAUGUCCCAGGCGACUGUUUACUAAAAACACAGGUCUCCGCAAAGUCGUGAAGACGACGUAUGGGGGCUGACGCCUGCCCAAUGCUGGAAGGUUAAAAGGAGUGGUUAGUCGUAAGGCGAAGCUACGAAUUGAAGCCCCAGUGAAUGGCGGCCGUAACUAUAACGGUCCUAAGGUAGCGAAAUUCCUUGUCGGGUAAGUUCCGACCUGCACGAAUGGCGUAACGAUCUGGGAGCUGUCUUAACGAGAGACACAGCGAACUUGUAGUACCGGUGAAGAUGCCGGUUUCCCGCAUCUAGACGGAAAGACCCCGUGCACCUUUACUACAACUUGAUAGUGGGUUCGGGCAAACGAUGCGCAGGAUAGGUGGGAGGCUUUGAAGCCGGGCUUUUGGGCUCGGUGGAGCCAACGGUGAGAUACCACCCUUCGUUUGUCUGGACUCUAACCUAGGGCCGUAAUCCGGUUCAGGGACACUAUCAGGCGGGUAGUUUGACUGGGGCGGUCGCCUCCCAAAGAGUAACGGAGGCGCUCGAAGGUUGGCUCAGGCUGUUUGGAAAUCAGCCGUAGAGUGUAAACGCAUAAGCCAGCUUGACUGUGAGACAAACAAGUCGAACAGGUACGAAAGUAGGAGUUAGUGAUCCGGCGGUUCUGUAUGGAAGGGCCGUCGCUCAACGGAUAAAAGGUACGCCGGGGAUAACAGGCUGAUCCUGCCCAAGAGUUCACAUCGACGGCAGGGUUUGGCACCUCGAUGUCGGCUCAUCGCAUCCUGGGGCUGAAGAAGGUCCCAAGGGUUUGGCUGUUCGCCAAUUAAAGCGGUACGUGAGCUGGGUUUAGAACGUCGCGAGACAGUUCGGUCCCUAUCUGGUGUGGGCGGAGCAGAAUUGAGGGAAUCUGUCCUUAGUACGAGAGGACCGGGAUGGAUCCACCUCUAGUGUACGAGUUAUGGCGCCAGCCGUAGCGCUCGGUAGCUAUGUGGAGCAUGGAUAAACGCUGAAUGCAUCUAAGCGUGAAGCCAGACCCAAGAUUAUUUCUGCCAGUGAGACUCCUCGUAGACCACGAGGUUAAUAGGGUGGAUAUGUAAGUGCAGUAAUGUGCUCAGUUGACCACUACUAAUCAGUCCCUUGGCUUGACCAU